rnacentral:rRNA from 1 species
AGAAUCAACGCUGGCGGCGUGCCUAACACAUGCAAGUCGAACGAGAAAGUGGAGCAAUCCAUGAGUAAAGUGGCGCACGGGUGAGUAACACGUGACUAACCUACCCUUGAGUGGGGAUAACCUAGGGAAACCUGGGCUAAUACCGCAUAAUACCUUCGGGUCAAAGGAGCAAUUCGCUUAAGGAGGGGUCGCGGCCGAUUAGUUAGUUGGCGGGGUAAUGGCCCACCAAGACUGUGAUCGGUAUCC